rfam:Cavia porcellus supercont2_42 genomic scaffold, whole genome shotgun sequence.
GGGGAUUUAGCUCAGCGGCAUAAGCGCCUGCCUUGCAAACAGGUAGUCGUGAGUUCAAUCCCCG